UACGGAGGGGGCUAGCGUUGUUCGGAAUUACUGGGCGUAAAGCGCGCGUAGGCGGACUGUUAAGUCGGGGGUGAAAUCCCGGGGCUCAACCCCGGAACUGCCCCCGAUACUGGCAGCCUGGAGUACGGGAGAGGUGAGUGGAAUGCCGAGUGUAGAGGUGAAAUUCGUAGAUAUUCGGCGGAACACCAGUGGCGAAGGCGGCUCACUGGCCCGUUACUGACGCUGAGGCGCGAAAGCGUGGGGAGCAAACAGG
rnacentral:misc_RNA from 1 species